AGUGAACGCUGGCGGUAGGCCUAACACAUGCAAGUCGAACGGCAGCACAGUAAGAGCUUGCUCUUACGGGUGGCGAGUGGCGGACGGGUGAGGAAUACAUCGGAAUCUACUUUUUCGUGGGGGAUAACGUAGGGAAACUUACGCUAAUACCGCAUACGACCUACGGGUGAAAGCAGGGGAUCUUCGGACCUUGCGCGAUUGAAUGAGCCGAUGUCGGAUUAGCUAGUUGGCGGGGUAAAGGCCCACCAAGGCGACGAUCCGUAGCUGGUCUGAGAGGAUGAUCAGCCACACUGGAACUGGGACACGGACCAUACUCCUACGGGAGGCACCAGUGGGGAAUAUGGGACAAUGGGCGCAAGCCUGAUCCAGCCAGACCGCGUGGGUGAAGAAGGCCUUCGGUUUGUAAAGCCCUUUUUUUGGGAAAGAAAAGCAGCAGGUUAAUACCCCGCUGUUCUGACGGUACCCAAAGAAUAAGCACCGGCUAACUUCGUG
rnacentral:rRNA from 1 species